rfam:Triticum aestivum genome assembly, contig: Triticum_aestivum_CS42_TGACv1_scaffold_424056_5BS
AAUGUACUCCCUUCGUUCUAAAUUAGAUGAUUUCCAUCUAUUUAAAGAUAGAUGUACUAGACAUACUACAAGUUUAGAUACAUACACGUUUGAACAAAUGGAAAUCGUCUAAUUUGGAUCGGAGGGAGUACUAG